rnacentral:rRNA from 1 species
GAUGAACGCUAGCUACAGGCUUAACACAUGCAAGUCGCGGGGCGAGCAUGUUACUUGGCGUUGUCCACGUAAUAGAUGGCGGACCGGCGCACGGUGAGUAUCGCGUAUCCAACCUUCCCAUAUCCACGGGAUAGCCUGCCGAAAGGCAGAUUAAUACCGUAUGUUGUCGCACGCUGGCAUCAAAAUGCGACGAAAGGCUUAGCGGAUAUGGAUGGGGAUGCGUCCGAUUAGCUUGACGGCGGGGUAACGG